GAACGUGAGGGCCGUCUGGCUGUGACAUCCAUCACCUCAGUGAUCUCCAGGGUUGAUUAGGCUAAUCUGGCUGGCUAGGCAGCUGUCCCCUUCCUCCUUCACCAUUCUAUGUGUGUCCUUCCCGAAGCUGCGAGCUCGGUUAAAGAGGACGACCACCCCCAAAAGAGAAAGACCGAUUCCCCUGUCAAGGGUUUACAAGUAGCUGCGCUCCACUGCUAAAACCUCCAAACCAGGUUUCAAUAUACAAAUAUCCCCUGUGUCCUUGGGCUUGUGAGACUUCAUGUAUUUUGCCCUUUGCCUCUUUCUGCAGCAAAGCGGUUGAGAGCUUGGCUGAAGCG
rnacentral:snRNA from 1 species